rnacentral:lncRNA from 1 species
CUGGAUUUCUGUCUGUAAAAGCAUUCUUCUAUCUGCCUGAGCAACUGCCACUUCUCAUAAAGGACAUGUUCUGCUUCAAAUGUUUCUGGCGAAGGGUCAGUGAGUGCUUGUACCUGCGCAACUUGUAACAAACUGUGAGUAGUUUUUACUCUCUCCUGAAUAUUUGAAAACUCUCUAUUUAGUGGUUUUAAACUUCUCUUGAUGCAUUUCAGCUUCCAACACAGUGAGGUUAGGUUGGCAGACACGCUUCCGACUUGAGACCAAGCGUCAGACACUACCUCCAGAAAGCUCGGGUGUUUAGUAAGGUAGUUUAGGAAUUUGAAGGGUUGGGUACCAGUUUUAGGUAGGACGAAGGCAAGGUCGAGUAGGCAGGGAGAGUGAUCAGAUGGGACAGGUGGAAGGAAAGAAGCAGAGGCAUGCGGGAAGAGAUUGAUAACGAAAUUGUUAGUGAGGCACCUAUCCAACUUCUUAGCAACAGGGGAUAUGAGUCUUUUGUUUGACCAGGUGUGGGUGGGGCCUUGGUAUCUUAGAUCAAAUACACCUAGC